rnacentral:tRNA from 1 species
GCCCCGGUAGCUCAGCAGGUAGAGCGGCGGCCUCGUAAGCCGCAGGUCGCGGGUUCAAAUCCCGCCCGGGGCU